GUGAGGAAUGGUCAGAGUGGCCAAGCACUAAAAGGUAACAUGUUGGCAUACAGACCUCAUAGGAUACGAAUGGGUAGUACCCACUCUGAGAACUUGAGGCCUAGAUGGGCAAAUAGGACAAUAAGAAAUUACAUGUUCCCUCUCCCCACAAUAAAAACACAGUCCAUGAACCCUCCUUCUUGCCAUUUCUUGGGGUGACUGUCUAAAUGAGACUAACUCAAUCUCCAGAGGUUUCUCGGUCUCCAAGACAGAUGAAUACGAUAUGGUGUGCAGCGGUCCAGGAGUAGAGACUCAGACAACAGGACACAACGAGAGACAGACAGAAUCCAAAAAGAGAUGCGUGGAGCCAAAGGUAAGCUCCCUGACUGGGAUGCAGAGAACCCAGGUUCAAUCACAACUAAACCCAA